rnacentral:rRNA from 1 species
GAUGAACGCUGGCGGCGUGCAUAACACAUUCAAGUCGAACGGUGAUUUUCCUUCGGGAAAUGAUCAGUGGCGGACGGGUGAGUAACGCGUGAGCAACCUGCCUUUGAGAGGGGAACAACGGUUGGAAACGACCGCUAAUACCGCAUGAUGCAUAGAGACCACAUGGUUUUUAUGCCAAAGAUUUAUCGCUCAAAGAUGGGCUCGCGUCUAAUUAGAUAGUUGGUGAGGUAACGGCUCACCAAGUCGACGAUUAGUAGCCGGACUGAGAGGUUGAACGGCCACAUUGGAACUGAGAUACGGUCCAG